UUUGGAACAAGUUGUCAUAGGAUAAAUUAUUCCGAGAUAAGUUAAAAUUUUACCUCAAUCAAACAUAAGAUAAAUUCAUCCUAACAAUAACAUACCUAGCAUAACUAAGGUCUAAAAAGGGUAGUGUGUACAUAGACGUUACCAAUACCUCAGGGACGUAGAGAGGCUAUUUCAAGAGACCUUUUGCUCAAGUGCACCUAGCUAGUAAAAUUUAAUGAGUUACUUCAAGUGUAUGACACAUUUUUGUGCACUGUAAUCUGUAGUUUGAUGAGAAUUUAGAUAAACGAACUACAUUGAUCAAGUGUCUUGCAUCUACUGGCAAUGAGAAAUGACUUGUACAUAUUGGAAAAUUUUUGUUCACAACAAUAAAACAUCAAGUGCACUGUUCUUUCAAUCACCAUCUUUUUACCAAUAAUGUCAGCAACUGCAAUAAAAAGAUAUAUUUCUUAAUAAUUUAAGAUAUAACAAGCAAUCUUGAUAAGAAUCAAGUUUGUCCGUUUGUUCUUGAUAAAAUAUAACAACAACUACACUUCUUUACUUUUUUCCUUUUGUUCCUCUCUUUGGUGAAGUCAAGAAUCUGAAUAUUUUCUAUUAGGUUAAGACAAUUUCUAGUUUGUGCAAGAACAACCCAAAAAUGAGUAAUUAAAUGCUACUAUUAUUUAAGUCACUCAUUGAUAAGAUGGUAGGAAGAGUUACAAGCUGGACGACAAGGUUCCUACAUUAAACACAUUUCUUGACCAUAUAUCAAUGCACAUUAACCAUCAAUAAACAAUAACCUUUAAAUAAGAAACCAUUUUCUUCCUCUCUUUAAGAGACCGCAGUGCACAUUCACGUCACAUAAAAAUAGUCCUUCCAAAAUCUAAUUGAUCCACCUCAUAUUUCUCUAAUCUAGCACAAUAUAAUAAUAACCCUCAAACAAAACACAACAAUAACCUAAGUUGAAAACUAGUAGCUUCUAAUUAGGAAAAAAGUUAAUCCAAUAACCUUUAAAUUAAUAUAGAAAACUAAAACACUGUUAAUAAACAACAACAAUAACAUAUGCAAUGUAAUACUAAUCUCACUAAAAUCAUAUGUCACAUACAAUACCUUAACAAUAUACAAUACAAGCAAUUCCACUAGGAUUACCUGUCCCUACCAACACCAUAUCAAUACACAAUAUAAGCAAUACCAUGAUGAAAAUUAGUAACCAAGCAUGUCUGAUGUUAAUAACAAAUAAAUGAUCCAAAUAGUCAACAAGACCCUUAACAUGUCCAGUAAGCACAUCAUACUUGCAACAAAAAAAAUCUCAUCAAGAAAGACCCAAAAUAGCCAAAGGACAACUAUCUACAGUGACAAAAAUAGUCACCAAAAUAGACCAAAAAUAAUAGACCUAAAAUAGAGAAAGAAGUACUAUCUAUAACAGACAAAAAUAGUCCAAAACCUAAAACAGCCCCUAAAACAAACUCAAAAUAGACUAUCCUCUUCUUACCCUUAACUUUCUAGCCCUUUGUGUUUGUAACUUAUUGGUAGUAAAUGCAUCUUUCCCCUUCUAAUUUAAUCCAUUUGGUGAUAUUGGAAGGUUAGUUGGUUCACUAACACCAUAUUCUAACACCUCUGAAGCAUAUAACUCUACUCUAGUUGGUUGUUAUGGUCUUUGUCUUCUUUUUAGUCAUUGUACAUAAGCUUGUUCAGAUUCUAUUCUAACCAUUAGAAGAGGGUUUUCAUCAUCUUUCUCAAAGUCAUGCUAAAUUUUGUUUGGUCGGGUCGGGGGAUGCCAAGUUGAUGUCCUCUUCAUCAGGUUCCUCUUCAUCAAUUAAUCUACUCCUAGGCUGCUACAUCUCCCUUCCCCAAACAAUAGGUUAUUUUUUCUUAGCAGCAGCUUGCUUUGAUUGCUUUAUCAUAACACAAAAAAUAAUAAUUAUUAAUUCUAAUUAUAUAAAAGUGUAUUAAAUACAACGUAUAAUUAAAUUACGUUUCCACAACCUCUUGAAUUAUGAUUUCUCAGAAAAGGACUAUAUAGCCCACCACAAAAGCUUCUUCAAGUCAUUUUUACCCCAAAUCCUACACCAAUUUGUCUCAACAUGCCUUACACAAUAUCUAUGAUGUACUUUAGGAAGAAUAUUCCUUAUUGCAUCAACCAUCCCCUAAACAAUGCAUGAAAAUAAAUACAUAUCACUAAAUAUCAUUAUCAACAUAUAAAUUAAGUAAAUCAAUGAUAUUAGUAAAGAUUGUUACCUUAUGCAUGUCUAAUAUGAAUGUUAUUCCUUUACCAUUUUGAAGUUCAAGCUAAUUGUGAAAAUAUUGUAUGAACCAAGUCCAAGUCUUUUUGGUCUCUUUGUCUAUCUCAACCCAUGCUAUAGGAUAGAAAUAUUUCAUACUAUCUUAUUCAUCUAAACAUCAUUUCAUUAUCACAUUCAUUAUCACUACAAUCUAUUUCAGCUUCAUCAACUAUUGGUACUGGUAAAAAUAAAUUACUAUGUAUAACAAUGUCAAGUACAUCAAUAGGUAACUCACCAUCAUCAAUAGCAAGCAAGUGAAUGAUUUGGAAAUACUCAGAUACAAAAGAUAAUAAUGUCAUAAUUCCUUCAUCUCCUUGAAUUUUAAAAUAUUUCCCAGAAGGACCAAGUAUAAUAAGUUGUUAGACACUUAAAAAACACAACUUACUUGUGUACUCAUUCUCUAAGUCAAUAAACAAGAGGAGAUCAAGAUCAUAUCCAUCCUAACAGUGGACCCAUCCAUUCUCAUAAUCUAUUUUUGGAUGCUUAUCCUAAUCACCACCAUGAAAAAGUGUAUGCUAAAAUUUAUCAUUUUAAUGACCUAUAAAGAGUCGAACAUCAUUAUUGAAUAACACUCACCAAAACAUACCCAAAAUAGACCUAAAACAAGCUCAAAAUAUCCUUAAAAUAGAGCUAGAUAGACAAAAACAUAAAAAAUAGACCCAAAAUAAAUCCAAAAAAGUCCCAAAACAAUAUGAUAAAUGUAACAUAUUAGUCGCUUAAUACAUUACAUUAAGCAAAUAGUUAUAUAACAUGUUAGUAGCUUAUUAUUAAGUUUUCAGUUCUCAAUCAUGCAUAUGAAUUAUAAGAAGUUGAAAGGGUAAUUAUUUUUCACCUUAAGUCUUUUCUAAUAGGAUAUAUCUGAACUGCAUAGCGGCAGGCAGGCCUAAAUAAAUUCAAAAUAGACCCAAACUAAGUCAAAACAUACACAAACAGGCUGGAAAGUAAUUACAUCACUAAACAAAAAGUAAGUACCAUAUUAUGUGAAUUAUAAACCUAAAGUAGGCUCAAAACAUACCAAAAUAAUACAACACAUAAAAUAGACCCAAAAUUAAGUAAUUGCAUCACUUGGUAACUUAAUAGACUAAAAUAGUCCCAAAAUGGGCUCAAACUAAACCCAAAAAAAUAAAACACAUAAAACAACUACAAAAUCAAGUAAUUGUAUCACUAGGUAACUUAAAAAGCCUAAAACAUGCCCAAAAUAAAUACAAAAUAGACCUAAACUAUUUCUAAACAUACACAAAUAGGCUGAAAAGUAAUUACACAACUAAAAAAAGUAAGUAUAAUAUUAUGUGACAUAAUAGACCUAAAAAGGACUCAAAACAGACCCAAAUAGAUACAACACACAAAAUAGAACCAAAAUUACGUAACUCCAUCACUAGAUAACUUAAUAGACCUAAAACAGGCCCAAAAUAAACCAAAAAUUGAUGCAAACUAUGUCAAAACAUACACAAAUAGGCUGAACAGUAACUGUACAACUAAACAAAAAGUAAGUACAACAUUAUGUGACUUAAUAACCUAAAAUAGGCUCAAAACAAACCUAAAACAAGCUCAAACCAGACCUAAACAGGCCCAAAAUAGCUCAAACAAAACUAAAAAGAUACAAUACACAAAGUAGAUAAAAAGAAAUUACAUAAUUGGAUCACUAGGUAACUUAAUAGGCCUAAAAACACUAAAAAUAAAUUCAAAAUAGACCCCUACUUAAUAGGCUUAAAAACACUAAAAAUAAAUUACAUUCUACCUUCGCUUGUUUGUCUUGCUGGAACUUAAGUUCUAUUUCUUUAAGAGAUUCUCAACCUCAGGGAUUUUGUCAGAAGACUCUUGUGAAACUGUAAGACCAGAUAUCAAUACUGUGUUCUUAAUCAUAUCUUUAUUUACUUGAAACCGUCUGCUAUUUGGUUUCUUUAAACUAUGUGUUAAGAACUGUGACUUCUAUCAAGUCCACAUACAUAGUUUAUUGAAGGUUAUUGGAGUCCUAAAUAUAACUUACCUUUUGUAAAUUCCGAUUGUUUCUUGGGCCUUUUACUAAUGAUAUGGUCCUGAAUCCUUAGGCUUGAACUUUUGGUUAUUUAAUUUAACAAUGUCACUUUUUGAAGCCUAAAUUUUGAAACCGCCUAGUUAUGUUUUUAUUAAAGUGAUUUUUGAUCAUAUUAUUCUAAAACUCUUCUCUAUUAUUUAUAUUCUUGCUAAACAUAAGCAUAAAACCAAUUGCGUAACUACUCCAUGGUUUAGGAUAUAUCGAUAGUACCCUACCUUGUUUAUUUCUUUUAGAGGGCCAACUCUUUUUAUCUAACUCGUUUGCCAUUAUUUUCUUGAAGCUUGUAAUUCAUAUUUGAAGAUCUUUUAUGCAAGGAUUUAUCAAAUAAUAAAUUUAUUAGACCCCUAUCUAAUACUCUUGUUUCUUCCAUCUUGCGGAUUAUGUAAGCUUCAUGUUUGUUCUCUAUAAUCUUUUUAUGGAGUUGUCGUUCCAUAUUUCACACUUUUCCUAUUGUUUAUUUCAUGCUUGUCCUAGAAAAUAAGAUAAGUAUUUUGGUUAUAAAUCACUCAAAAUCAUUCAGGCAAAAAAGUUCUUUUCUCUCUAGUUAAAUUCUGCUUAGUUCUAACAGUAACACUAUAAUUUACUCUGGUAUUUGAAUGGUAAUGCACUAGAAGGUCAAGUGCCCAAGGAACUUCUUUCCAUUGGGGUCCAUGGUGGAGCUAUUGAGUAUGUCAUUCUCUAUUUCUAGCUAAAGUUUUCCUUCAGUAGAUUUUAUAUUCUUCUUUGGUAGAUUUUUAAUUUUUAAUAGACCUAAAAUAGGUUCAAACCAAACCUAAAAAGCCUUAAACCGGACCCAAAAAUGCCCAAAACAGCUCAAACCAGACCCAAAUAGAUACAUCACACAAAAUAGAUCCAAAAUUAUGUAAUUGCAUUACUAGGUAACUUUAUAGACCUAAAAUAGACCCAAAAAUAAAUAAAAAAUAGACCCAACUACGUCAAAACAUACACAAAUAGGCUGAAAAGUUAUUAUAUAACUAAAUAAAAGGUAUCCAAAAAAAUGUUAGAAUAUAUUCCAAAUGUCUUUAAAGAAGUCACCCACAAAAAAAAGGUAUAAGUGGAUUUAAUUUUUGUUUUGCAGUAUCCAAGUUCCUACAUCAUAUUAAUUUCUUCAAUACUACUAAGACAUUAUUGUCAACUAUUAGUAUCUAAAAAAUAACACUUAAACACUAUGCUCUUCCUUGUACAAGUACACCAUUUGUCACAUACUCUAUGUCCUAGCACAACAUGGGACAAUUAUCUAGAUAAAACAUUCUUUAAAAAUACAUUUUCCAUGAGAAAUUUCUUUUCCCUGUACCCAAAACACCAUGGAUUACUUUCUCUAUCAAAAGAUUUGUCCUUAAUGUAUUAACCAUACAAAUAAAACAACUAUCAUAUUAACUAUGAAAUUUGAACCACCGAAAAACAACAACAACGCCAUGCUCUUAGAUUAGAUAAAGCAAAAUAAAAUAAUUCAUCAGUGUAUAAUUUAGAGUAAGUAGUACUUCUUGAACCAGAGAUCUAUCUAAAGUAAGUAAGAUAAAAAUUAAAAAAAGUAAUAGCUAAUAUUAAUAACAAAUUAAUUUUUUAUCCUAGCAUGUUUAAAGUAGAUCCACAAUUAGACUUUAUUUAGAGACCACAAAAAAUAAUAAAGAAUCAAGGGGCCCCUUCAUAAAGUCAAGUCUCGAAACACAUGAAAAUGAUACUAUUUCCCCUUUUUGUAUAUAAACACUUCAAGAAGGGACCACAUAUUUAUGCACAAACAAACAAGACAAUGAAAUAUUUGUGUAACUCCGUGAAAAAAUUUCUAACAAUAAUUUUGUGUGUUUUUUUCUCUAAACAUAAAAGUGAAUUCACAAAAAAAGUUGAAGAAAUGAAUAUGACACCCCAAACAUACCUAUAAAAAUCCAUAACCAAGAAAUAUUCUUGAAAAGUAGGACAUUUUUUUAACAUAAAAUUGCAUAAACCCCAAAGAAAUAUAUACAAAAAAAAUCAAAGUAAAACCCAGAAGAAAUACAAAAAAUUCUAAAAUCGAAAAAAUAUAUUUGUAAAAAUCAAAAAAUCGACAAACCACUUACAAUCAAACCCAAAAAAGAUUCUCUAGAUCUUCCAAUUUAAACAACACAAAGCAAAAUAAGAAGACAAUCAAAUAAAAUAUCGUAGAUAGAGAAGAAACAUACAUGCAAGAUCUGUAAUAGAUUCUCUACGGUAGAUGGAGAAGAAAUACAAACUGAAUCGACAAUUGUUUAUGGAUUUUAUAAGUAAGAGAGUGAUACUGUCAAAGAAUGGGAGAAUGAACAGACGUGUUCUAUUCACGCAUCUGAUGUUUUAAAUGUUAUA
rnacentral:lncRNA from 1 species